rnacentral:pre_miRNA from 1 species
ACCUCUGAGCCAUUUCUCCAGCCCCUUCUUUGGGUUUUUUUAAGACAUAGUUUUGGGCUGGAGAGAUGGCUCAGAGGU